UGAAUUUUGUAAAGGCGCUAUUAACGGACGCCUAAAGGGAGGUCCUACUCAGAAUAUAUAAACCGCCACAUUGCGGGCGGAAAAGCCCUCACCCUCAUUCUGUCGUAGAAGAAGCUUGUGUGAUAUGUGCGGGAAGACCGAGUGGACGCUGCACUGCUGCUCUGAGAGUGGGAUCUGUGUGACUGGCCUGUGGACGAGCUUCCUGGUUUCUACAAGUACUGCUUGAUGUGUGAAAUUCUCCCCCUCCACAAUACAAAUGCUGGUUAUCUUUGUGUAAAUCUAUAGCUCUGUUUUAUGUACUUAGUGUAAGUUUGCUCCUUUUUUUGAUUUACCAUUAAAUGAGACCCUGAAACCAUC